rnacentral:piRNA from 1 species
GAGACAGAGGCCUUUCUUUUUAAAUAGCACA